CUUUCUUUCACUGAUCUUUACUUACAAAAGCAUUUCCAGAGUUUUCAUUUAUGCUUCUGAAGUUUUCGUUUACGAUCCCAGAGUUUUCGUUCGUCUCUCUGACACAAAUCUCUCGCGGGGGCGGGGCCAGCAGUGGUGUGUUCUCAUUGGCUUACUGAGUUUUUGAUUGACAGCUUCUACUUGACCUGGAAGUGAAGACGUCAGUGUUGUGUUUACAUGUGUGGAGGUGAGCGUCUGUAAGCGGCUUCUUAUUUCAUUUUAGUGAUGUAAAGAUAGGAGUUUUUAUUAUUUUAUCUGUAGCUGCUGCUACUAUGGUGAGAUGAUUUCUUAGGCCUAGCACAGACGAAUGAUAUAAUCAUCAUUAUCAUCAGUCAUCGUCGUUAUCUGGAUACUUGCGGGAGUGGAGCAACUUUUCCAUUAACAACAUUCUGAUGCUGACCCAGAGGAGGGAGUGGUAGCCCCAGAGAUCCACUGUCCCCAUCAGACAAGAAUCUUAUUUUGUUCAGACACAUCACCUUUGACUGACUGGGAUCUUGAUCUUCAGACACCUGAUAUUAUGCAAAUAUUUUAAUUUUUUUGGAGCUCUAGAUUAAAACAAGACACAGUUCACAAACACACAA